GAGACAGCAGUAGCCGCGGGAACACGAAGGGUGCAAGCGUUAAUCGGAAUUACUGGGCGUAAAGCGUGCGUAGGCGGUUUGUUAAGUCUGUUGUGAAAUCCCCGGGCUCAACCUGGGAAUGGCAAUGGAUACUGGCAAGCUAGAGUGUGUCAGAGGAUGGUGGAAUUCCCGGUGUAGCGGUGAAAUGCGUAGAGAUCGGGAGGAACAUCAGUGGCGAAGGCGGCCAUCUGGGACAACACUGACGCUGAGGCACGAAAGCGUGGGGAGCAAACAGGAUUAGAGACCCCGGUAGUCCCUGUCUCUUAUAC
rnacentral:rRNA from 1 species